CUUCACUGAGUUUCCAGGCUGCAGGAACAGCAGUCCUGCUCUGUCACCCUGGUGACCAGUGGCUCCAGCAUCCUCUGCUCCUUCUCACCUGCAGCCACCACUGCAUCGGUCCUCCGAAGGACAGAGUCCCUCUCCGUGGAAUCCGACACCUGGUAGACUUCAUAGUGACGUCAGUGCCUGCAGACUUUGAUUCAGCCUACAGGAGGAGGGCGGCCCAUGAAGCUCUCCUGAGAUUGAAGCUGAUCAAAGACUCCAGAAACCACAGGGGUCUAUGGUGGAUCAUGCUGAAGAACCAAAAACCUCAGCUGUUCUGAAAAUGAGAUUCAUUUUUCUAGUCAGAAGAUAUAUAGAAGAGAGCAAGUGAACUGUUUAUUUUACCACUAGCUAAGGGCUUUGUGAUGGGAGAAGGAAAUGGCAACCCACUCCAGUGUUCUUGCCUGGAGAAUCCCAGGGACGGGGGAGCCUGGUGAGCUGCCGUCUAUGGGGUCACACAGAGUCGGACACGACUGAAGCAACUUAGCAGCAGCAAGGGCUUUGUGAGUGAGUGAGGAGUCAAAGUCUCCCAGUCAGGUCCGACCCUUUGCGACCCCAUGGACUCUAUAGUCCAUGGAAUUCUCCAGGCCAGAAUAUUGGAGCAGGUAGCCUUUCCCUUCUCCAUGGCAUCUUUCCAAUCCAGGGAUUGAACCCAGGUCUCCCACAUCGCAGGCAGAUUCUUUACCAGCACCAGGGAAGCCCCAGGAAUACUGGAGUGGGUAGCCUAUCCCUUCUCCAGAGGAUCUUCCCGACCCAGGAAUCGAACUAGGGUCUCCUGCACUGCAGGCAGAUUCUUUACCAACUGAGUUAUUAGUCACCUGCAUUUUUGUCCCCAGUUGGUUGCUACUGCUCUCUGGGGGGUGGGGUGGGAUGGGGAGUGUGCUUUCCCCUACUCACAUCAUGUUUCAUGUGACUUGAUUUGACCAGGGAAACAUGAGCCAUAUGCCACUUCCAAACAGCAGCUUUAAGAGCCACUAGUAAUACCUUGUUCCUAGGAACUCUUUCCAAAAAUCCUCUCAAAUGAUCUGUUUAUGUGGGGCAAGGUGUACAGGGUUGGACACUGGACUUGACUGAUCUUUUCUGGGCGGUGCUACAAGAUAAAGCACAGUUUGUCUAGCUUUUCACUUCAGGACACAGAGACAUGCUGUCCUCAAGCUUAGUUUCUAGUCAAUGCACAUACAUACACACAUGCUCAUGCCCUUUAUAAAUAUAUAUAUUUCUAGAUUGCUGAACAAAUUCCCCUGUCUUUUAUCUUUUGCAAGAUAAUUGAACUUCUUACUGCAGUUGGAAAAUGUGGUGCCAAUGAUACUGUACUAAAUGAAAGAAUUUCAUCAACUUCUAAUUAGAAAUUGAAUCACUAUGUGAAGAGCAUAAUAAAAUAGCCUGUUUCUCGUCA
rnacentral:lncRNA from 1 species